rnacentral:rRNA from 1 species
GACGAACGCUGGCGGCGUGCUUAACACAUGCAAGUCGAACGGGAUUUAGUAAACGGAAGCCUCGGUGGAAGAUUACUAAUGAGAGUGGCGAACGGGUGAGUAACGCGUGAGCAACCUGCCUAUGACAGUGGGAUAGCCUCGGGAAACCGGGAUUAAUACCGCAUAAAAUCGUAGAAACACAUGUUUCAACGGUCAAAGUUUUAUCGGUCAUAGAUGGGCUCGCGUCUGAUUAGCUAGUUGGUGAGAUAACAGCCCACCAAGGCGACGAUCAGUAGCCGGUCUGAGAGGAUGAACGGCCACAUUGGAACUGAGACACGGUCCAAACUCCUACGGGAGGCAGCAGUGGGGAAUAUUGCACAAUGGGGGAAACCCUGAUGCAGCGACGCCGCGUGAACGAAGAAGGUAUUCGUAUCGUAAAGUUCUGUCCUAUGGGAAGAUAAUGACAGUACCAUAGAAGAAAGCUCCGGCUAAAUACGUG